AUUGAACGCUGGCGGCAUGCUUUACACAUGCAAGUCGAACGGUAACAGGCCUUCGGGUGCUGACGAGUGGCGAACGGGUGAGUAAUGCAUCGGAACGUGCCCAAUCGUGGGGGAUAACGUAGCGAAAGUUACGCUAAUACCGCAUAAGCCCUGAGGGGGAAAGGUAGGGGGACCGGCAAGGCCUCACGCGAAUGGAGCGGCCGAUGUCAGAUUAGCUAGUUGGUGGGGUAAAGGCCCGACCAAGGCGACGAUCUGUAGCGGGUCUGAGAGGAUGAUCCGCCACACUGGGACUGAGACACGGCCCAGACUCCUACGGGAGGCAGCAGUGGGGGAAUUUUGGACAAUGGGCGCAAGCCUGAUCCAGCCAUGCCGCGUGCGGGACGAAGG
rnacentral:rRNA from 1 species